rnacentral:rRNA from 1 species
GAGAUCAGUUGUUACUUAAUAUACACAUGCAAGUCUCCGCACUCCUGUGAAAACGCCCUUAUAUCCCUCCAAGGGAUAAGGAGCCGGUAUCAGGCACAAAAAUUAGCCCAAAACACCUAGCUAUGCCACACCCCCACGGGAACUCAGCAGUGAUUAACAUUGAAGAUAGGCGCCCGCCUGAUUCAGUUAAAGUUUAAAGAGCCGGCAAAUCUGGUGCCAGCCGCCGCGGUUACACCACGUGGCUCAAACUGACCUCUCCCGGCGUAAAGCGUGAUUAAAGCCAACCUCUUAUUGCAAUUAAACUGAAACUAAGCUGUGACACGCUUAUUCCCAAGAAAACCACCAACGAAAGUCAUUGCA